rnacentral:rRNA from 1 species
ACGCUCGACACCUACGGGAGGCAGCAGUAGGGGAUCUUCCACAAUGGGCGCAAGCCUGAUGGAGCAACACCGCGUGAGUGAAGAAGGGUUUCGGCUCGUAAAGCUCUGUUGUUGGAGAAGAACGUGCGUGAGAGUAACUGUUCACGCAGUGACGGUAUCCAACCAGAAAGUCACGGCUAACUACGUGCAAGCAGCCGCGGUAAUCUGAGCGGGCUGGCAAGGC